rnacentral:RNase_P_RNA from 1 species
CAGGCUGGUUGGGCAAUCGCGGUCCUGCGUUGACGGGAUCGAGGAAAGUCCGCACUCCUUAGAGCACGGCGUCGGAUAGCACCCGGGGCGGGGAAACCGCCGUGAGGCGUGAACCUGCCGGAAAAGGGCCACAGAAACAAACAGCCACCCCCUCCGCCCGUUGGGCACCUCCUCCAAAUCCAUUGGAUUUGGAGGAGGCAGGGUGGGGGUAGUGAUGGUGAAAAGGUGGUGUAAGAGACCACCGGCAUCUGCCGUAAUGCGGAUGGCCAGGUAACCCCCGCCGGGAGCAAGGCCAAGCAGGGGCGAAAUCGUCCGUGGACGAUGGGAGACUGCUCGUCUCCAUAUGUGCCUUUCCCUCUUGUGGGAAAGGCCAGCCCCGGGUAGGCUGCAAUGAGCGGCGCGGCGACGCACCGCCCAGAGAGAUGAUUGCACAGGCAGGACAACCUGCUGGACAGAAUGCGGCUUAUAGGCCAGCCUGAGGU